UACGGUAGGGUGCAAGCGUUGUCCGGAAUUAUUGGGCGUAAAGAGCUCGUAGGCGGUCUGUCGCGUCGGCUGUGAAAAACUCGGGGCUCAACUCCGAGCUUGCAGUCGAUACGGGCAGGCUAGAGUUCGGCAGGGGAGACUGGAAUUCCUGGUGUAGCGGUGAAAUGCGCAGAUAUCAGGAGGAACACCGGUGGCGAAGGCGGGUCUCUGGGCCGAUACUGACGCUGAGGAGCGAAAGCGUGGGGAGCGAACAGG
rnacentral:rRNA from 1 species